rnacentral:lncRNA from 1 species
GUCACUCUUGUUUUUAUUGGUUUUUUAUUUUAGCUGCUAUACAUCAUUAUUUUAAUUAGAGUUUUUACUACUAGUAUUCACUUUAAUGAACUGGAUGUCAUUCUUAAUUGAAGAAAAGCAGUUUAAUAUCAUCUGAAAUUUGAUGGAGCCUUUGUAAAGUUCAUUUUCAUCCAAGGAUAGAUCUUAAAAGUGCUUCAACCUCAUAAAUUUGGAGCCAAAGUCAUGUCAGUUUAACUUGAAUGCUCAGUGACCCAAGAAGAAGCUUACUAACAGCUUUAUUAGGCAAAGGAAUAUUGCUGAGUCUAGUAAAAUUCUCACUGUCCAAUCAAGUCUUCAGCAACUGAGUUCAUUCUCAUUCUCUUCAACUUCACAGCAGAAAGAAUAACCUUGAGAUGCAGGUCUCCCGGGGACUCAGCCUGCUGGAUUCAGAGCCCAGCACCACUAUGAAAUUAGCACCAUAUUUCCAUCUUCUGCAGAGGAAUUCGUGAGUGGUCGGAACUCCCACUCCGUAUCACAGAUGAGAGAUCCUGGCCAGACUCAGAAGUCUUCUCCUUCCAGGCCUCGUUCUCCAGAGAGGCCGAGCUGGAAGCAGAUUCCUGGCCCUAAGGCCAGCACUCUUGCCUCUGUGGUGCAGGACACCCGAGUGACAAAUCCCAUUUGCCUAAUGAGGAAACAGCGUCAUCUAGUGGCGAUUUAUCCUUUUUCUAGGAAAUGCUUUUUUAUGAGGGGCACGCUUAACUGGAAUCCCUGGCACGAUGGCUUCAGAAAGACUGGAAGUGACCUGGAGACAGAAGCACCACUGAUGACAAAAGGUGGAGCCAUGGCAUUUUUGCAGUCCUAGGGAGAAGCUGGCUUCCCAGUAACUGAAGACACUGGUAAACCCCUGACAGCAUGAGUCCCAUCCUCAUCUCUGGCUGACAGUGGCUGCUAUGAGGAAAGGACAGUGGGGACCAUGCCCACCAUGUUCCCUUGAGCUUAGAAUACUCAGCCAUGUGGGGAAUCAGCCAGGGUGGCAGGUGGACCCAGGGAAGGAAUGCCAUAGCAGCCCAGGGACAACAUUCCAGCCACAGUCAAAACACGGGCAGUAAGUUAUAAUAAAUUCACAGAAAUGGUGAUUCA